rnacentral:rRNA from 1 species
GACGAACGCUGGCGGCGUGCUUAACACAUGCAAGUCGAACGAAGUGGCGAACGGGUGAGUAACGCGUAAUAAACUUGCCCUUCAGAGGGGGACAACAGUUGGAAACGACUCCUAAUACCGCAAAGUGAUGGAGGUGAUGGCGGCGGAUCAGCUAGUUGGAGGGGUAACGGCUCACCAAGGCGAUGAUCAGUAGCCGGGCUGAGGGGAUGAACGGGCAACAGGGGACUGAUGCAAGGGCCAGACCCCUUCGGGAGGGAGCAGGUGGGAAAUUUCCGCAAUGGGCGAAAGGCUGACGAAGCAACGGCGCGUGGGAGGUGGCGGGCUUCGGGUUGUAAAGCUCUGUUAAUCGGGGCGCGGUACCGGAAUAGAAAGCAACGGCUAACUACGUGCCAGCAGCCGCGGUAAUUC